GGGGAAAUUAGUAAAUACACUCCUUAUUUUAUCAUAAACUUCUUUUACAUAGGAAGGCGAAAAUCCUAAGUUUCUAAACAAAAUUUCAAUCUUUUUUUGGGGGGGUUUAAUUUUAAUUUUACAUGAAAAGAAAGCUAACAAACUUAGGAGAGAACGGGAAUUUCCUUAUUAAAAAUCCAGCUGAACUUGACUCCAUGCGGCUUCAACUUCUUAGCCCGCUCAUCGGCUCGCUCCUGAAGCUUCCUGAUCCUCGGCGCCAACCCACACACAAAGUCCUGAGCCCGUCGCCCCUCUCCCGUCAAUCCCUCCACCUUCUCCAGCCUCCACCGUUGGAUCAGCACCUCCAGAAUGUCGGCGUAGUCGUUGGCCGUGUAGAUUCCAAGCCGCUGAGCCACGGCGGAGAAGUGGUCGAAUAGCCUGGGGUCCUGCCCAUCGUACAUGAGGUGUGCCGGCAUGGUGAUCUUCUUGUGCAUCAUGUCAGCAAUUGCCAGCAUCGCGCCGGUGGGGUCCACGUCGAGAAGCUUCUGGACGAUUCUGGAAUAAGCGUUCUCGUGGCGCUUCUCGUCGGAGGCGAUGGUACCGCAGAUUCGGGCGAGGAGUGGAUCGCCGCCGUCUUUGGCUAAACGGGCGGUGUUGCCAUGGGAUAUGAACGUGGCUCGCUCUUGAAAUGACGUGUACACGAAUCCCAAGUAUGGAUUGUUCUCCGUUCCUGGAUCCAUGCCGGCGCCGAUCAAAUACUGCACAGUCCGUUCAAUCAUCAUCAUAUCGACCCGACCCGUUAAAUAGAGGUAUGUCCGGAGCAAGUCACCGUGGCGGUUCUCCUCAGCGGUCCAAGUCCGGGUCCACGUGGCCCACGGGCUCCGGCUAGCCCCAGUCUCAUCUUUAACCCCAUCCAGCGUAUUAAUCAUCGUCUGAUAAGUCGGCAAUGCGUCCUCCGUAAUCAUAUCCCCAACCAGCACCACAAAGUACUCAUCCGGCAGCUCCGCCGUCCGAUCCCGCAGAGCCCUAACUUCCUCCACGAAUUCGUCGUAUGGCAACGUCGAAUCCGGCAAGAAAUCCUGCGGCUGCCAGCACUGAUCCACCGGCUUCAGCAGCGGCAACACAUUCUCACUCGCCCAACCUUCCAACGACUUGAACACGUCGAUCUUUUCCGGCGGCAUUGAGUGCGUCCUCCGAUCCUUGACCAGAGGCGGCGCCGUUAUUGCCGAAAUUGGCCGUACCGAUGGCCGGACUCUGAGAGCGUAGAGCGGCGGUGAAGAGUUCAGGCGGAAGUGAGCGAGAUUGGGGCCAAAUGGGGAGGGAGAAUGAGUUGGAACGUGGUUUGAGGUUAGUGUUUGCAUGAUGCUCCGUAUUCGUGGAACUCGAAAUUUGAGGCAAU
rnacentral:misc_RNA from 1 species